rnacentral:rRNA from 1 species
AAAUGAAUAGACGGGGGCCCGCACAAGCAGUGGAGUAUGUGGUUUAAUUCGAAGCAACGCGAAGAACCUUACCAGGGCUUGACAUAUAGUGGAAUAACCUAGAGAUAGGUUAGCUCUUCGGAGCUGCUAUACAGGUGGUGCAUGGUUGUCGUCAGCUCGUGUCGUGAGAUGUUGGGUUAAGUCCCGCAACGAGCGCAACCCCUGUUGCUAGUUGGUAACACAUAAUGGUGACCUCUCUAGCGAGACUGCCGGUGACAAAUCGGAGGAAGGUGGGGACGACGUCAAAUCAUCAUGCCCCUUAUGUCCUGGGCUACACACGUACUACAAUGGCUGUAACAGAGGGAAGCGAAGCUGCAAAGUGGAGCCAAUCCUAGAAAAGCAGCCUCAGUUCGGAUUGUGGGCUGAAACCCGCCCACAUGAAGUCGGAAUUGCUAGUAAUGGCAGGUCAGCAUACUGCCGUGAAUACGUUCCCGGGCCUUGUACACACCGCCCGU